ensembl:lncRNA
GUGAUUCAAAGAUAAAAUAAAUAAAGAACCAGUAGAGCUGCUGUCAGUCCCAGUGCCCAGUAGAGGCCGAUCCUUCUCAGACUGGUGUCACUCGAUGUCUCAGGUUCGGGUGGAUCCUUCACUGCUGCAAAGAGACACAACAAAUCUGUUUGUUAAUGUAAAGAAAAAGGUUUAUUUAUCUGAAUAAAGCUGCUGAAUUAAACGUGUUAGUAAGUUUAACUUAAUGAACCUACCAGUGACAUUGAGGUGACAUUCCUUAAAGUUCUUCCCAUAACUUGUGUCCACUUGACACCAGUACAGCCCCGAGUCAUUAGUCUGGAGUCUGGAGAUGUGAAGUCUGAGUCGUCCUUCUCUGAGGACGUCUUUGUCCCACUGGACUCGUCCUGCAAAGCGUUUAUCCUGCAUCUCUGGGACCUCGACACCGUCAUGUAGCUCAAACAGGGUAAAGGGUCUCUCAUCAGCUAACAUCUCACAGGAGACAUGAAGGGCGUUGGGGGAGGGGUCCGUGCUGGUGGGGAACAUCCAUUCCAGUGAGAUGUUGUGGUUCUC